rnacentral:rRNA from 1 species
CCCUUAGACACUCUAGGCGGCACGCGCGCUACAAUGGGUGGAAGAACGUGUUACUGCCUCCGAAAGGAGGGGUGAAUCACGAAUUCUUGCCCGUGAAUGGGAUAGUUUGUUGCAAUUUUCGGACUUGAACUAGGAAUCCCUUGUAAACAUGCUCAAGAAUAGCGUGUUGAAUACGCCCCUGCCGUUUGUACACACCGCCCGUCGCUACUACCGAUUGGAUGGAUUAGUGAGACCCUCGGACUGGAACCUAGAGGCGGUGGUUCAUCCACCAAAUCUUGGAGCCGGGAAGAAGGUCAAACUUGUCUAUCUAGAGGAAGUAAAAGUCGUAACA